rnacentral:lncRNA from 1 species
CUGGUGUGGAGCACCAUGAUGACCUGCAGGAGGAUAUCCCUGUGGAGGAUAUCCUUGUUGUGGAGGAUAUCCAGCAGGUGGAUAUCCUCCUUGCGGAGGAUAACCCUGUUGUGGAUACCCUUGCUGUGGAGGGUACCCUUGUUGUGGAGGGUACCCUUGAGGAGGAUACCCUUGCUGCGGAGGGUAACCACCGUGCUGUGGAGGAUACUGUCCUGGAUGUCCGUGAUGACCACCAGCAAGACCACCCAUACCUCCCAUUAUAUUGUUAAAGAGUCCCUUAUCAGAAUCAUCCUUACC